UACAGGGGAUGCAAGUGUUAUCCGGAAUUAUUGGGCGUAAAGCGUCUGCAGGUGGACUUUUAAGUCUUUUGUUAAAUCUCUGGGCUUAACCUAGAAUAUGCAAAAGAAACUAUUUGUCUUGAGUAUGGUAGAGGUAAAGGGAAUUUCCAGUGGAGCGGUGAAAUGCUUAGAUAUUAGAAAGAACACCAAGAGCGAAGGCACUUUACUGGGCCAGUACUGACACUCAGAGACGAAAGCUAGGGGAGCAAACGGG
rnacentral:rRNA from 1 species